rnacentral:rRNA from 1 species
AUGAACGCUAGCGACAGGCUUAACACAUGCAAGUCGAGGGGCAUCAUGAGGUAGCAAUACCUUGAUGGCGACCGGCGCACGGGUGAGUAACGCGUAUGCAACCUGCCUGAUACCGGGGUAUAGCCCAUGGAAACGUGGAUUAACACCCCAUAGUACUUUUAUCCUGCAUGGGAUGUGAGUUAAAUGUUUAAGGUAUCGGAUGGGCAUGCGUCCUAUUAGUUAGUUGGCGGGGUAACAGCCCACCAAGACGAUGAUAGGUAGGGGUUCUGAGAGGAAGGUCCCCCACAUUGGAACUGAGACACGGUCCAAACUCCUACGGGAGGCAGCAGUGAGGAAUAUUGGUCAAUGGACGAGAGUCUGAACCAGCCAAGUCGCGUGAGGGAAGACUGCCCUAUGGGUUGUAAACCUCUUUUAUAAGGGAAGAAUAAGUUCUACGUGUAGAAUGAUGCCUGUACCUUAUGAAUAAGCAUCGGCUAACUCCGUGCCAGCAGCCGCGGUAAUACGGAGGAUGCGAGCGUUAUCCGGAUUUAUUGGGUUUAAAGGGUGCGUAGGCGGUUUAUUAAGUUAGUGGUUAAAUAUUUGAGCUAAACUCAAUUGUGCCAUUAAUACUGGUAAACUGGAGUACAGACGAGGUAGGCGGAAUAAGUUAAGUAGCGGUGAAAUGCAUAGAUAUAACUUAGAACUCCGAUAGCGAAGGCAGCUUACCAGACUGUAACUGACGCUGAUGCACGAGAGCGUGGGUAGCGAACAGGAUUAGAUACCCUGGUAGUCCACGCCGUAAACGAUGACUACUAGGUGUCGGGUGGCAAAGCCAUUCGGUGCCGCAGCAAACGCAAUAAGUAGUCCACCUGGGGAGUACGUUCGCAAGAAUGAAACUCAAAGGAAUUGACGGGGGCCCGCACAAGCGGAGGAACAUGUGGUUUAAUUCGAUGAUACGCGAGGAACCUUACCUGGGUUUAAAUGGGAAAUGUCGUAUUUGGAAACAGAUAUUCUCUUCGGAGCGUUUUUCAAGGUGCUGCAUGGUUGUCGUCAGCUCGUGCCGUGAGGUGUCGGGUUAAGUCCCAUAACGAGCGCAACCCUUACCGUUAGUUGCUAGCAUGUAAUGAUGAGCACUCUAACGGGACUGCCACCGUAAGGUGAGAGGAAGGCGGGGAUGACGUCAAAUCAGCACGGCCCUUACACCCAGGGCUACACACGUGUUACAAUGGCCGGUACAGAGGGCCGCUACCAGGUGACUGGAUGCCAAUCUCAAAAGCCGGUCGUAGUUCGGAUUGGAGUCUGUAACCCGACUCCAUGAAGUUGGAUUCGCUAGUAAUCGCGCAUCAGCCAUGGCGCGGUGAAUACGUUCCCGGGCCUUGUACACACCGCCCGUCAAGCCAUGGAAGCCGGGGGUGCCUGAAGUCCGUAACCGCGAGGAUCGGCCUAGGGCAAAACUGGUAACUGGGGCU